GGCAAGGCUGGGCUGGGAAGGGGGUGCGGGCCCCAGCCCCCCGGCUUCCACGGCCUCUCAGCAGCCAGGAUGAAGAAACUGAGGCCUCGAUAGUUAAUGUAAUUGACCAGAGGCACAGAGAGCCAUGAUUCACACUCAGGCCAGGCCUGCUGACCCCACAGUCUGUCUGCUUAUCAUUAUAUGGCAAAAUAUUUAAAGAUGGUCUGUGCACAGUCAGGAUGGUCUUUCCACAACCAUAGCUCGAUGGACACAGGACUAGAGCACUAACCUCUGGCUCCUUACCUGGAGAUGAGUCUGACCUCAGGUACCUGCAG